UACGGAGGGUGCGAGCGUUGUCCGGAAUCAUUGGGCGUAAAGGGCGCGUAGGUGGCGGGACAAGCGUGCGGUGAAAGCCUGGGGCUCAACCCCGGGUCGGCCGUGCGAACUGUUUUGCUUGAGCACUGUAGAGGCAGGCGGAAUUCCGGGUGUAGCGGUGGAAUGCGUAGAGAUCCGGAAGAACACCGGUGGCGAGGGCGGCCUGCUGGGCAGUAGCUGACACUGAGGCGCGACAGCGUGGGGAGCAAACAGG
rnacentral:rRNA from 1 species